rnacentral:tRNA from 1 species
GGGCCCAUAGCUCAGCUGGUAGAGCGCUUGGCUGGCAGCCAAGAGGUCAGGGGUUCGAAUCCCCUUGGGUCCA